CAUCAGCUGCCAACAGAGCAGAGGACCCCAGGGCCGACUUAUUAUCUUCAACCUAAUAUGGUUUUCUACACUCAGGUGUGUGGUGCUGACAACACUCGGCGCGGACUUGAGAUUCUGCUCAUUUUGGUGUAAGUGCUGCGGCGGAGCGGGAUCGCAGAGUCACAACAUGUAAGAUCAAAGUCAAAAAGGGAAGAGGGGACAGAAGAUGAGAGAGGGCAAUACGGCUGAGCACAGCUUAGACCAGUGGGUUUCCGCCUGCUGCGUUCAUGGGGAGGUAUUGUCACAUUUUGGCGUCAAUGUUCCUCAUCCAUCUGUGA